UACAGAGGUCCCAAGCGUUGUUCGGAUUCACUGGGCGUAAAGGGUGCGUAGGCGGUCGGGUAAGUCUGACGUGAAAUCUUCAAGCUCAACUUGGAAACUGCGUCCGAUACUAUUCGGCUAGAGGAAUGGAGGGGAGACUGGAAUACUUGGUGUAGCAGUGAAAUGCGUAGAUAUCAAGUGGAACACCAGUGGCGAAGGCGAGUCUCUGGACAUUUCCUGACACUGAGGCACGAAAGCCAGGGGAGCAAACGGG
rnacentral:rRNA from 1 species